GACGAACGCUGGCGGCGUGCUUAACACAUGCAAGUCGAACGGAAAGGCCCUGCUUUUGUGGGGUGCUCGAGUGGCGAACGGGUGAGUAACACGUGAGUAACCUGCCCUUGACUUUGGGAUAACUUCAGGAAACUGGGACUAAUACCGGAUAGGAGCUCCUGCUGCAUGGUGGGGGUUGGAAAGUUUCGGCGGUUGGGGAUGGACUCGCGGCUUAUCAGCUUGUUGGUGGGGUAGUGGCUUACCAAGGCUUUGACGGGUAGCCGGCCUGAGAGGGUGACCGGCCACAUUGGGACUGAGAUACGGCCCAGACUCCUACGGGAGGCAGCAGUGGGGAAUAUUGCACAAUGGGCGGAAGCCUGAUGCAGCAACGCCGCGUGCGGGAUGACGGCCUUCGGGUUGUAAACCGCUUUCGCCUGUGACGAAGCGUGAGUGACGGUAAUGGGUAAAGAAGCACCGGCUAACUACGUGCCAGCAGCCGCGGUGAUACGUAGGGUGCGAGCGUUGUCCGGAUUUAUUGGGCGUAAAGGGCUCGUAGGUGGUUGAUCGCGUCGGAAGUGUAAUCUUGGGGCUUAACCCUGAGCGUGCUUUCGAUACGGGUUGACUUGAGGAAGGUAGGGGAGAAUGGAAUUCCUGGUGGAGCGGUGGAAUGCGCAGAUAUCAGGAGGAACACCAGUGGCGAAGGCGGUUCUCUGGGCCUUUCCUGACGUUGAGGAGCGAAAGCGUGGGGAGCGAACAGGCUUAGAUACCCUGGUAGUCCACGCUGUAAACGGUGGGUACUAGGUGUGGGGUCCAUUCCACGGGUUCCGUGCCGUAGCUAACGCUUUAAGUACCCCGCCUGGGGAGUACGGCCGCAAGGCUAAAACUCAAAGGAAUUGACGGGGCCCCGCACAAGCGGCGGAGCAUGCGGAUUAAUUCGAUGCAACGCGUAGAACCUUACCUGGGUUUGACAUGGAUCGGGAGUGCUCAGAGAUGGGUGUGCCUCUUUUGGGGUCGGUUCACAGGUGGUGCAUGGCUGUCGUCAGCUCGUGUCGUGAGAUGUUGGGUUAAGUCCCGCAACGAGCGCAACCCUUGUUCACUGUUGCCAGCACGUUAUGGUGGGGACUCAGUGGAGACCGCCGGGGUCAACUCGGAGGAAGGUGGGGAUGACGUCAAGUCAUCAUGCCCCUUAUGUCCAGGGCUUCACGCAUGCUACAAUGGCUGGUACAGAGAGUGGCGAGCCUGUGAGGGUGAGCGAAUCUCGGAAAGCCGGUCUCAGUUCGGAUUGGGGUCUGCAACUCGACCUCAUGAAGUCGGAGUCGCUAGUAAUCGCAGAUCAGCAACGCUGCGGUGAAUACGUUCCCGGGGCU
rnacentral:rRNA from 1 species